CUCCGGUUGAUCCUGCCGGACCCGACUGCUAUCAGAGUGGGACUAAGCCAUGCGAGUCAACAUAGCAAUAUGUGGCAUACGGCUCAGUAACACGUAGUCAACAUGCCCAGGGGACGUGGAUAACCUCGGGAAACUGAGGAUAAACCGCGAUAGGUCAUCACUUCUGGAAUGGGUAAUGACUUAAAUCUAUAUGGCCCCUGGAUUGGACUGCGGCCGAUCAGGCUGUUGGUGAGGUAAUGGCCCACCAAACCUGUAACCGGUACGGGCUCUGAGAGGAGGAGUCCGGAGAUGGGCACUGAGACAAGGGCCCAGGCCCUAUGGGGCGCAGCAGGCGCGAAACCUCUGCAAUAGGCGAAAGCUUGACAGGGUUACUCUGAGUGAUUUCCGUUAAGGAGAUCUUUUGGCACCUCUAAAAAUAGUGUAGAAUAAGGGGUGGGCAAGUCUGGUGUCAGCCGCCGCGGUAAUACCAGCACCCCGAGUGGUCGGGACGAUUAUUGGGCCUAAAGCAUCCGUAGCCGGUUCUGCAAGUCUUCCGUUAAAUCCACCUGCUCAACAGAUGGGCUGCGGAGGAUACUACAGGGCUAGGAGGCGGGAGAGGCAAGCGGUACUCAGUGGGUAGGGGUAAAAUCCUCUGAUCCACUGAAGACCACCAGUGGCGAAGGCGGCUUGCCAGAACGCGCUCGACGGUGAGGGAUGAAAGCUGGGGGAGCAAACCGGAUUAGAUACCCGGGUAGUCCCAGCUGUAAACGAUGCAGACUCGGUGAUGGGUUGGCUUCGAGCCAACCCAGUGCCGCAGGGAAGCCGUUAAGUCUGCCGCCUGGGGAGUACGGUCGCAAGACUGAAACUUAAAGGAAUUGGCGGGGGGAGCA
rnacentral:rRNA from 1 species